rnacentral:rRNA from 1 species
UCUACGGUGGGCUGCAGUGGGGAAUAUUGCGCAAUGGGCGAAAGCCUGACGCAGCGACGCAGCGUGAGGGAUGAAGGUCUUCGGAUCGUAAACCUCUGUCAGCAGGGAAGAACGGUCACUGUGCUAAUCAGCAGUGAAUUGACGGUACCUGCAAAGGAAGCACAGGCUAACUCCGUGCCAGCAGCCGCGGUAAUACGGGGGGUGCGAGCGUUAAUUGGAAUUACUGGGCGGAAAGCGCUCGUAGGCGGUAUGUCAAGUCAAGGGUGAAUUCACCGCGCUCAACGUGGGAACUGCAGUUGAAACUGGCAAACUGGAGUGUGUGAGAGGAGAGUGGAAAUCCAGGUGUAGGAGUGAAAUCCGUAGAUAUCUGGAGGAACAUCAGUGGCGAAGGCGACUAUCUGGCACAUAACUGACGCUGAGGAGCGAAAGCGUGGGUAGCAAACAGGAUUAGAUACCCCUGUAGUC